GAUGAACGCUGGCGGCGUGCCUAACACAUGCAAGUCGAACGGUCCGGCACUUAACACCGAGGACUUUUGUAGGUGAACACGACAAGAGUUUUGGGUGUUAAGUGUCGGAUAGUGGCGGACGGGUGAGUAACGCGUGGGUAACCUGCCCUUAAGAGGGGGAUAACAGUUGGAAACGACUGCUAAUACCGCAUAAAGUUGAUUUACCGCAUGGUAGAUUAACCAAAGGAGCAAUCUGCUUAAGGAUGGACCCGCGUCUGAUUAGCUAGUUGGUGGGGUAACGGCCUACCAAGGCGACGAUCAGUAGCCGGCCUGAGAGGGUGACCGGCCACACUGGGACUGAGACACGGCCCAGACUCCUACGGGAGGCAGCAGUGGGGAAUCUUCCGCAAUGGACGAAAGUCUGACGGAGCAACGCCGCGUGAGGGACGAAGGCCUUCGGGUUGUAAACCUCUGUCUUCAGGGAAGAAGAAAGUGACGGUACCUGAGGAGGAAGCCCCGGCUAACUACGUGCCAGCAGCCGCGGUAAUACGUAGGGGGCGAGCGUGAUCCGGAAUUAUUGGGCGUAAAGGGCGCGUAGGCGGGUAUUUAAGUCAGGUGUGAAAGACCAGGGCUCAACCCUGGGACUGCACCUGAAACUGGGUACCUUGAGGGCAGGAGAGGAAAGUGGAAUUCCUAGUGUAGCGGUGAAAUGCGUAGAUAUUAGGGGGAACACCAGUGGCGAAGGCGACUUUCUGGACUGCAACUGACGCUGAGGCGCGAAAGCGUGGGGAGCGAACAGGAUUAGAUACCCUGGUAGUCCACGCCGUAAACGAUGAGUGCUAGGUGUAGGGGGUAUCGACCCCUCCUGUGCCGCAGUUAACACAAUAAGCACUCCGCCUGGGGAGUACGGCCGCAAGGUU
rnacentral:rRNA from 1 species